ACUCACAAACCGUGAGAUCAUGACCUGAGCAGAAUAUCAAGAGUCGGACGCUUAACCAACUGAGCCACCCAGGCGGCCCAAAAUAAAUGUAAAUAACUUCUAGAAAGUCGUGCGUAGGCCAGUAGUGUGAAUAUGUUAUGAACCACAGUUUGGAUAAUUAAUCCAAAUUAGCGCAAAUGAAGGACAAGUAAAGAACUUUGCUUUUUUCAUUCAUUUCAAAACUCCAAGUCUCAUUUUAUGUUUGUUCCACUGAUUUUUUUUAUUUAGUUAGUCCCACUGAUGAUUUAAACAUUUCCCUCUUGAUAAAGGUCUAGGCUGAUACUCAUUUCGAGAGUCGAUAUUCUGGUUGUUGAGCAGGAUGGUGGGUUCAUGGUUGGCCUCUGUAACACCUAACAAUGGUUCAGUGUAAUCUCUAAAAAUUAAAUGCUGAAGGAUUGCACCUGCACCAAUGAUGUGAAUGGAAUGCCUCUGAAUAAAAAUUAUGAUCAAUCAUUUUUUGAACCACUGAGGUCCACCACUCACAAAGCGAACUAGUGUAGGACUUUUGGGGAGUGGUCUCAGGAAAGGUCAAGAAUCUAGUUGAGAAAGGUUCAUGGAUUUGACUUUAUGUUAUUAGUGAAUAAAUGAAUGUAUCAAUAAGCAAAUAUACUCAAAGGUAAAGAAAAUUAGGUCAAAACAUGGACCAAUUUAGAGGAUAUGUUAUAAAAUGGGAAAUAUUCUGUAUUCAGUUCUGAAAUACUUUGGUCAAGUAAGAAAAAAAAAACAUAGAGUAAGGUUGUUACCACUUUGUGUAAGAAGCCGCUAGGUAGAGGGAGUUUAUGAGUCGAUGUUCUGCUGUCUAUUUGCAGUGGGUUUCUAUGUGUUUGUUUCGUGAAGGAAAAAAAAAGUUGAAAUUAAAGAAAUGGCUAACUGAAUGAGUGAGUGCCAAGAAUGAACCAAUGAUGACUAUAUUUUAUUCUUUAUUACAUCUGCUUUGUGCCGAGAAUGGCCUCACAUUGGCUGCUUUUGUCAUUACACUUAAUGGUGAGGAUCCUGACUGUUACUGAUGUGGCCAAAGAAAGCAUAGAUUAGGAAAGUUCCCAAAUGACACCCACGUAAUACGCAGAUUCCCCUGUCCAAGAAGAAUGGCGAGUUCGACGAAGUUCUAGAACAAUGCCAGUUUGGAUGGGAUGGGUCGAGACUAUGCACCUUUAAGACAGCAUAACAUGCCGUUCUGCCAGGGACAGAUGAUGAGAAAAGUAAGUUGGCAACAUCUUUGCCCUCUGUGGGUAUUUGCCCAAGACCGCCCCCCCUCCACUGCCCCCUCCCUGUAUUGCAUCAUUCCUCCCUCCUGCAAUUAUGUGUUUUAAUUUUAUACCCACUCUAUGGCUGACACUGACCACUCCCCCUCCUCUCCUGUCUUGCCUGUUCCUGACCCUGGAUUCCAUCUCUCACUCCUGGUUUCAUGUCCUUCCUUUGGACUUGGUGAUGUAACGGUCAUUUGGCUUGGAAUAUAGCCUUCUCCUUCCUGAAGACUGGAUUUCAGCUCAAAUCAUUGGCCUUUCUACUUCGGACCAAAUCAGGUAGACCCCCGUCUCCUUCUUAAUAGUGGACAUCUGGGACCCUAAUUUUGAGUCUUCUGGGUUGGCUGUCUUCCAUCUGGGCAACCUCCAGCCCCUCCGGGCCCCCUGAAUGCUGAGGGCGGGCGGCAGGAUGAGCAUCAGUGGCCUUCGUCUAGAAUCUAAUGUGUGACUGGAAAGUGUAUGGACGCAGGACGUGGGACUUAGGUUCUCACGUUCCCCAGGAUUGCUGGGUAAAUGAGGUGCUUGGACCUCAUAGCGUUCAACAGCUUCUAGUUGAUUCUAAUCUGUGCUUUCCAUGGUUGCUCAGCUUUGUGCCAUGCCCAACACACCUGUCACCUGCCUUGCACUCACAUAGCCCCUUGUCUUCCUUCCUGGCUCCUCAGCUCCCGUGGUCCAGAUUCGUCCUGUCGUGCUCACGUAUCCAUCCUCCACACCCCCGACAGAGCCCUUGUUAUGGUGUUAGUUAUGACCAACUGGUUUCUCCCAAAGGGAAUGAACUCCUUGGCGUCAGGUAACCCACCAGAAGGUCUAGGCUUCGGUGAAUGUUUGGUGAACUACUCGUCCAUUCUUUCAUUUAUUCAGAAAAAGAUUGGGCUCUUUCUAGGCACCAGAGGUUGGGUAUAAGCAGCAAGAGGCAGGCCAUAUCCUAUCUCUGCCCUCAUGGAACUUCAAGUCUUGAGUGGGAGAUAGAUUUCGAACAAAUUUUCACUGUGGAAUUACUUAAUCAUCCUCGUGACGAGCUCUAUGAAGCCCGGGUGCCGUGGGCUUUGCUGACCUGCCACCUGGGCUGGUCUGGCCCUUAUGACAAGCCCCCUCUGCUUUGGGGGGGACACUCUGGAAGGACAAGGCCAUGGCCACGGUCUGAGCUGGCAGAUGGCUGCGGGUCCCUGCGGGCAGGUCCUCGGACAUCGUUGGAGGAAAGAGGGGUGGGUGGACUUUGGGGUUUGUGCAGCGGCCCUUUGGUUAUUACCUGGGCAGAGGCGACCAGCCAAACAUUGCAGUCACUCGGGCCGCGAGCUUGUUAAGGAAGGCUCUGCUGAGGCUCAGGGUUUGAGCCACCCCGUCAACUUCCAGGUGGUUCUUCUCGAUGUACUGCCAGAUGACAAACUGAGGGUACACUGGAACAUGGGUUGACCUUGUCUCCCUCCACCACAUUCCAUUCUGAGUGUCUUCAAACGGCUGCCCGAGAAACCACCGUGGGGGUAGCAUCACUGUGAUGUUCUGCAGCGAACCUUGCAGUCCACACGCCUUGUUCCGGUCGCCUUCACCGAUGCCACCCUCCCUCGGCCUCCAGCUUUGGUUCUGCCCCUUCCUCUGUCUCCAGAGAACCCAGGAGGCUACCUCUCUCGUGCCCGGCACCACAAAAGUCCAGACUUCCCUCAUGUUGGCCUGGGUCAGCCUCUGGAUUGGACUUUUCGCCCUUCCUUCAGUUUGUUCUCCGUGCUGCAGUCAACACAAUCUUUCUAGAUUUUUCUAGAAUGCAUGAGAAAGAGUCCCAUGCUCUCUAAAGCCCUUUUGUGAGUUUCGGAAGCCCCAGGGGGAAGCGCAAGCUCCUUGCUUCUCACUCGCGGUCUUUGUGACUUGGCCUCUUGCCCUGGCUCCCACCUUGGCCGGGCCCUAUGUGUCACCCGGCAGACCCUCCCAGACUCUGUGUCUGCGUCUCUGUGCCUUUACACAUGCUCCUGUUCUGACCCUGUCCUCACUGCUCAAUAGCUGGGCAGCCUGCCUCCCCCUGGUGGGUUGAGGCACCCCACAUUUGGAACUGUUGCAUGACCAUGAACUUGACCUCCAUUCAGAAACGUCUCCUGUGCUUGAUUUAGGUGUCUGGCUUUCCAGCCCGGUUGUGCUCGGUCUGGGGUGUCUCGGACCACCCCCCACCCCCAUAGAACCUGUGCAGAGUGGUGGGUCCAUCCAUCAGAAAGCUGGUUGAAUGAGACACUGAAUGAACACACAGAAGAAUGACUGGGAGGUCAUUCUGGGGGGCAGAUCCUGUCCCCGGAAGAGAACCGGGGUCCUUGGCACUGGGAAGUAACACCUCCUCAUGACUGAGGCCUGUACCCCUCCUCCAGCCAAUUCCAUUUUCCUUUUCGCCUGCGACUCAUUAGGAGAUAUGUAACCUUAAUCCUUGAAAUUGCCUGGGACGGAGCGUGUUUUCACUCAAGGACAUGAACAUGGGGAUUUUAUUCCUUCUUAAAUAAAUCUCACUCCCCCAGGAAGUUUGGACAGGAUGUGGGCAAUCAGACCAGGGCUUGAAACUGAACAUUUUGCAAAAGACCCGUUUCAAAAUUUGAAACCCUGUGGCCACUGGCCAGAGCUGAGUCUGGUUGGUGGGGGUCGCUGGGGCCUCCUCGCAAAGAAGGGAAGCAGAGAUUGAAAACAAACCUUCAGCUGUCACUGAGCAGGCUGAUGGUUUUGCAAGGCAGAAUUGUGCGGUUCGGUUUUGCUUGUCUGUGAAACUGGAGUGAGCUCGAUCACCCCCAUCAGCCUUCCUCCAAGCUCUGUGCGGAGGCCUCAGACCCUCCCGGAGCCAGCGUGGAGUCUGACUUCAUCCCGACAUGGAUAGGACAAGCGUGUAGCACUAGCUGGGGCUGCAUGCUUAGGGGCGGGCCCAGCUUAGGGCUCGCCCUUCCCCUGGGGGGCGCCCCCGGAGCCUGGGGAGAAAGAGUAAUAACAUUGCAUUAUGCCUGUCGUCGCCAGGCACGGCCGAAUGUUUCCCUGUUUCAUCCAGAGACGGGUGACACUGAUUCCUCAUUGUGGCGACAAGGAAACUGAGGCCUGGGGAGGGCAGCCGUGCGUGACUCCAUGUUUCAGACUCCUCCCAGGCUUCUCCUGAGUGGGCUCCCGUCUCCCGGAGUGGUGGCUGAGGCUCGUGCCCCAGGGUCACAGGUGUGGCAGGAUGGAUCUUGGGGGGCGGAGGAACACAUAGCCCCAGAGAGCAGUCCGCUCUCUGUCCCGCCGUCCCCGCUGAGCUGAGAGCGAACCCAGGCCCUGGACUGGUCCCUUGGACAGGGAGAUUCGUGGUCUCUCAUUCUCUUUUGACUUUUUAUCUUUUUUUUUUUGUUGCCAGGAAAGAGCAGUGUGUGUCUCGAAGUCACCAGAACCUUCCAGGCUUUGGGCUCCUCAUCUGUGAGAGGGAAGUGAGUUUCAUUCGUUUAUCCUGCAGAAAUCUUGCUGCGGGCUGUGCCCGGCGGGUGUGCCGCACGUGGCCUGGCAGGCAGACCCAGCAGGGAGCCACAGGAGCUGCCACUGGAGCUGGGCUUCAGAGUGGCUGGCCUCCUCCGCGCCCCCAAACCUGUGGGCGCUGCCCGCUCCCCUUCCGCCAGCACCCCCUCUGUGUUCUCUGGGCCUCAGCAGCCACCGAGGACCUUCAGGAAGGGUGACGUUUCCCUCUUCCCUACUUCUGAGACUCGAGUUGGAGCCAACGGCUGCCCAGCCUCAGUGUCCCCAUCUGUAACCACGGGAGAAAGAUGAUGGCAGGGCUCUCUGCCGUUCCCAUUUUGCCUGUCGUGGGGAAGGAAGGGAUAGCUCUCCCUUGGACUCGGGUCCCAGCCCCCCUUCCCUCUGUCCUCCAGGCCCUUGAUCUUCACUGGUCUCUUUGGGGCUGACUUGUUAUAUUUUCUUUUCCCUCAGAUCAGCAGGAUAAAAUAAAAGACAGUCCUGCCAGCUUGGCAGGGGCCUGACCCUGUCCCCGGCAGAUGUUCCCGGGGACAGCAGGAGCUGGUGACCCCCGCCAGCAGGGGCUGCUGGCAGCUGCCCAGAGGGGACAAGGGCAGGCCUGGGCACAUGUGUCCCUGCCGUGGCUUCUCUUUCCUCAGCUGGCCCCUCCCCUCCACUGUCCCCAGGCACUGCAGGGAUUCUGGCCUCAUUUUCUGAUGGGCCCCCUCCGUGGGGUUCUCUGGGGAGCCCCCCCGGGCCAGAGUUCAGACUUCUAAAAGGGCUACUCGUCCAAUCCCCUGCGCCCCUGGGGUCACUUGCUGCUUCCCUGCGACUCUGGGCCCCUGCCCUGCCUGUUCUUGUCAGUCCUCUCUAUACAUACCCUUUGCCCUGUCCCUCCUCCCGCCCGCGCCCCCCAUCCCAUGGCUCCACAGGUCCCCUCUCCAAAUAUUUAGUACCCUGGUGAGUCGUGGGCCCACAUUCCUCGGUUUGGCUGUUUAUGCAGCUGGUGGGCGCUCCUCGGCCUUGGGAAAGCCAUACUUGAAGUGUGGGGGGUCACCCAAGGUGGGUAGCAUUUCCUUCGAGCGGCCCGGGACCCUCUGGCCUGAGUCCUUCACUUUGUGGGUCUCCUGGUUUCUGCGCCAGCACACCCCUUCUCAGGGACUGCACCCUGUGCAGGCUUGGAUCCCUACUGGGAAGAAGAACCGAGGCAGAGUGGUGGAUGGGAGGGGCUGGCGUUGGCCAGAGGCUGAGGCCUCGAUGCAGGGUGGCCAUUCUCUGGGGUGCAGCGGGGCACAAAGGAAAGGGGUUUUGUGAGCUAGAAAGCGCUGGGCAGCUAUUGGAGAAAGAAGGGAGGGAGAGGGGCCCUACAGGGCCCCCCAGCCUGCCUCUGCAUAGCCCCCUGGGGGGCCGCUCCUCUCUUAAGGUCUCCCCUCUCCCCCACCACUGGCUCGAGUUGAUAGGUGCUGUUCCAUUUGCAUCUCACUGAGACCCCCGGUGCUGCAGAGGUCCUGUAGAGGCUCAGAUGAGAACAGUGACCGCCGCUCAGUGCCCAAGUCCGGGGCGUGUCCCAUACCCCUGCAGCAGCUGUCACACUGGAUUCCUCCCUGGGAUGCACAGGACGGAGGGGUGCAGCAGAGAGAUGCCCUGAGCACAGAGUCCGGAUGUCUGUCAUUCCCAUCUGGGAGGCUGCUGGCCCCGUUCUUCGUGCGAAGGGGCUUGGGCCCUGAGGGUGUGGCAGCACAUGUCUGUGGUUUGCUCAUCAAGACUAAAGAACGUAACAAACUUUUAUGGCUAAGUCUACCAAUUCUGUGACAUUUUGUAAAAGCCCUGCAAGGAAGCAUCUGGAAAACUCCCUUCCUGCUCCUGACAAUUGUUGCAAACAGCACGUUUCAAAAUACUCAGAACGUCCGGGCUGCAAAGCCCAGAGCUGACUCCUGGCCUGGCCUGACCGGCUAGGGGACGGGGUGGGUGCAGGGCCACCCCCGGCCCACCUGCGCUUGCCCCCUUCCCCAGAGCCCUCUGGGUGCCCGCUUGCCCUCUGCUGUGAUCUCAGGGAGAACCUCAGUUUGGGAGGGUGUCCAUCUGUCCUUGAGACCAGCCCAUUUCUGUCCCAGCAGGGAGAGUGGCUGGGAAUGGCCCAAGCAGGGCUCCAAAUCCAGACGUAGUCAGGGGUGGGUCUCAGCCUGUGAGGUCAGGGCUGGCGGGGCCGUUGCAUGACCAUGGGGCUCUAGGAGCGUCCACCCAGCGUGGUGGGGGAGGGGGGGCGGAUAAGUCACUUAGUGUCUGGCUCUGGGUUGGAGCUAGGCAGGGUUUAUGGAUGGGCAUUAAAUCCUUCAAAGGCUGAAUAACGAUAAUAGAAGAGCCAUUCAUGGAUCUUCAGUCACUGGUGUCAUGGAAUCAAGACUGUAAUCAGUUUAGUCCCAGGGGUACAGAGGAUGAUAGUGUAUUACUUAGUAUGUAAGUAUUUAAUGAAAUAUUUAGUAUUUAAGGGCUGCAGUAACUCCCGAAGUCUGAAAGCACUGACCCGCUAGGCCAGGCCCAAGACGCCCGGUGCUCCUCGUCCCCCUCCUCACUCUCCUCCACCCUGCUCCAGCCUGAGUUUCUUGUGAUGCCAGUUCACCCUUCCCUUCAGCUCUGUCACUGUGGGAGGGUCUCCCCACCUGGAGGGGCUCGGGACCUGCCGCUUGGAACUCCCAUGUGCGACUCCAUGGCUGGCCACUUCCCGUGGAAUUCUGAGUAUCCGGAGGGCAGCCGCUGGCUCCUUCCAGCUCCACGUACCCCGUGCUGGCCUUGCCAUUCUCAGAGUGCUCCCCAGGGAGUGUCUGCGAGGGACCCAUGGGAGUCAGACACGCUCACGCAGGCUGGAUUUGGUCUUGUGACUUGGCCCUCUUGUCUUCGUAGGUCAUUCUGCAUGGAGCCGUGGAGGUGUGGUUUCCUGAGCACGAGUUUUCCCGAGGACGCUUCUGAUGCGGGGAGCCCCUGCUUCACUGGAAUGUCUGGUUCUGGUCACUGGGGAUUCAAAGCAGAGGCCAGUGUGACCCCUUCCUGCCCAGAGGAGUUCCCAUUCCAAGAGGAGACAUGAGUGGCGUCCUCUCCAAUCAUGGACACAGAGAAAAUAAAAGCCAUCAAAAGGAAC